rnacentral:rRNA from 1 species
UUACGGGAGGCAGCAGUGGGGAAUAUUGGACAAUGGGCGAGAGCCUGAUCCAGCCAUGCCCCGUGUGUGAAGAAGGUCUUCGGAUUGUAAGGCACUUUAAUUUGGGAGGAAGGGCAGUUACUAAUACGUGAUUGUUUUGACGUUACCGACAGAAUAAGCACCGGCUAACUCUGUGCCAGCAGCCGCGGUAAUACAGAGGGUUGCAAGCGUUAAUCGGAAUUACUGGGCGUAAAGCGCGCGUAGGUGGUUUGUUAAGUUGGUGUGAAAUCCCGGGCUCAACCUGGGAACUGCAUUCAAAACUGACUGACUAGAGUAUGGUAGUAGGGUGGUGGAAUUUCCUGUGUAGCGGUGAAAUGCGUAGAUAUAGGAGGAACACCAUGUGGCGAAGGCGACCACCUGGACUGAUACUGACACUGAGGUGCGAAAGCGUGGGGAGCAACAGGAUUAGAUACCCUGGUAGUCCACGCCGUAAACGAUGUCAACUAGCCGUUGCGGAGCCUUGAGCCUCUUAGUGGCGCAGCUAACGCAUUAAGUUGACCGCCUGGGGAGUACGGCCGCAAGUUAAAACUCAAAUGAAUUGACGGGGGCCCGCACAAGCGGUGGAGCAUGUGGUUUAAUUCGAAGCAACGCCGAAGAACCUUACCAGGCCUGACAUCCAAUGAACUUUCUAGAGAUAGAUUGGUGCCUUCGGGAACAUUGAGACAGGUGCUGCAUGGCUGUCGUCAGCUCGUGUCGUGAGUGUUGGGUUAAGUCCCGUAACGAGCGCAAGCCCUUGUCCUUAGUUACCAGCACGUCAAUGGUGGGACUCUAAGGAGACUGCCGGUGGACAAACCGGAGGAAGGUGGGGAUGACGUCAAGUCAUCAUGGCCCUUACGGCCUGGGCUACACACGUGCUACAAUGGUCGGUACAGGAGGGUUGCUGGAGCUAAU